rnacentral:rRNA from 1 species
GGUGAAAUUCGUAGAUAUUAGAAAGAAUACCAAUUGCGAAGGCAGCUUUCUGGAUCAUUACUGACACUGAGGAACGAAAGCAUGGGUAGCGAAGAGGAUUAGAUACCCUCGUAGUCCAUGCCGUAAACGAUGUGUGUUAGACGUUGGAAAUUUAUUUUCAGUGUCGCAGCGAAAGCGAUAAACACACCGCCUGGGGAGUACGACCGCAAGGUUAAAACUCAAAUGAAUUGACGGGGACCCGCACAAGUAGUGGAGCAUGUGGUUUAAUUCGAAGAUACGCGCAGAACCUUACCAACACUUGACAUGUUCGUCGCGACUUUAAGAGAUUAAAGUUUUCGGUUCGGCCGGACGAAACACAGGUGCUGCAUGGCUGUCGUCAGCUCGUGUCGUGAGAUGUUGGGUUAAGUCCCGCAACGAGCGCAACCCUCACUUUUAGUUGCCAUCAUUUAGUUGGGCACUCUGAAAGAACUGCCAGUGAUAAGCUGGAGGAAGGUGGGGAUGACGUCAAGUCCUCAUGGCCCUUACGUGUUGGGCUACACACGUGCUACAAUGGUAUCUACAACAGGAAGCAAGAUGGCGACAUCAAGCAAAUCCUAAAAAGAUGCCUCAGUUCGGAUUGUACUCUGCAACUCGAGUACAUGAAGCUGGAAUUACUAGUAAUCGCGGAUCAGCGCGCCGCGGUGAAUACGUUCCCG